rnacentral:rRNA from 1 species
GACGAACGCUGGCGGCGUGCUUAACACAUGCAAGUCGAACGGAAAGGCCUGCUUUCCCUUGUGGAUUGCGGGUACUCGAGUGGCGAACGGGUGAGUAACACGUGAGUGAUCUGCCCCCAACUUGGGUAUAAGCCUGGGAAACUGGGUCUAAUUCCCGAUAGGACUGCAGGGUGGUGCCUGUGGUGGAAAACGAUUUUCUAGUGGUUGGGGAUGAGCUCGCGGCCUAUCAGCUUGUUGGUGGGGUAAUGGCCUACCAAGGCGGCGACGGGUAGCCGGCCUGAGAGGGUGGACGGACACAUUGGGACUGAGAUACGGCCCAGACUACUACGGGAGGCAGCAGUGGGGAAUAUUGCACAAUGGGCGGAAGCCUGAUGCAGCGACGCCGCGUGGGGGAUGACGGCCUUCGGGUUGUAAACUCCUUUCGACCGCGAGGAAGCCACCUGGUUGGAAGGGUGGUGACGGUAGUGGUAGAAGAAGCACCGGCUAACUACGUG